rnacentral:lncRNA from 1 species
UUGAGAGCUGAUGGGACCGCUGGAAAAGAUCCUUCACAAGCAUCACGUGGCCACCUGAACUGUUCAGUGUCACUGCAACGGGUUUAGGAUCAGAAUGUUCCAGCAGGGAGCACUACAGCUGUUUCAAUCUUCAGGGAGACUACUCAUCUUGGGAAUAAUUCCUUCCUUUGUCCUGUCAGCAUAAUGUGUAUGGACCCUGCUAAGCAGCACCCAGUCAUGAAAGUGCUGCCACCGAGGAAGUGGAAUUUUCUUCUGAGGAGGCAAGAACUGAGGUUGCUGCAGACCAGCAGGGAUUCACUGCUGAUAACUCAAGAUACCUUCCACCAGUAACUUGGAGAUGACACCAAGAGACAACACAGGCAAAGGAAAGUGUAUUAAUUCUGUUUUAGGUGUAGAAACUGGAGUGAUUGGAAAAUAAUUCCUAAAAGAAAUUGAAAAGUCAAAUUGUCAAGCAGUAAGUUCACCAUCACAUUUACCAUAAAGCAUGUAGAGAAAUGGAAAUAUUUACACAUCAUGGUUGAGAGUGCAGGAUUUGCAGUCA